GACGAACCGUGCGAACGUUGUUCGGAUUCACUGGGCUUAAAGGGCGCGUAGGCGGGCGGUCAAGUCGGGGGUGAAAUCUUUCCGCUUAACGGGAAGCGUGCCUCCGAUACUGAUCGCCUCGAGGGAGGUAGGGGCAUGUGGAACUUCCGGUGGAGCGGUGAAAUGCGUAGAUAUCGGAAAGAACACCAACGGCGAAAGCACUCUGCUGGGCCGACACUGACACUGAGAGACGAAAGCUAGGGGAGCGAAUGGG
rnacentral:rRNA from 1 species